UCCUACGGGAGGCAGCAGUGGGGAAUAUUGGGCAAUGGGCGCAAGCCUGACCCAGCAACGCCGCGUGAAGGAAGAAGGCUUUCGGGUUGUAAACUUCUUUUGGCAGGGACGAAGAAAGUGACGGUACCUGCAGAAUAAGCUCCGGCUAACUACGUGCCAGCAGCCGCGGUAAUACGUAGGGAGCGAGCGUUAUCCGGAUUUACUGGGUGUAAAGGGCGCGUAGGCGGGAAUGCAAGUCAGAUGUGAAAUCUCCGGGCUCAACCCGGAAACUGCAUUUGAAACUGUAUUUCUUGAGUGAUGGAGAGGCAAGCGGAAUUCCUAGUGUAGCGGUGAAAUGCGUAGAUAUUAGGAGGAACACCAGUGGCGAAGGCGGCUUGCUGGACAUUAACUGACGCUGAGGCGGGAAAGCGUGGGGAGCAAACAGGAUUAGAUACCCUGGUAGUCCACCCCGUAAACGAUGAAUACUAGGUGUGGGGGGACUGACCCCCUCCGUGCCGGAGUUAACACAAUAAGUAUCC
rnacentral:rRNA from 1 species